UGAUUGAGGGUAUGCGAUAUUAUUUUGA
rnacentral:sRNA from 1 species